GUCUAUGGGCAUACUGCCCUGAACGCACCCGAUCCUGUCUGAUCUCGGAAGCUAAGCAGGGUCAGGCAUGGUUAGUACUUGGAUGGACUCAUUCACU
rnacentral:rRNA from 1 species